rnacentral:lncRNA from 1 species
ACUGGACAUGUGUCAAACUCUUAUUUGCGCAUGCCAGACACUUAUUCUUAAUCAUAUUUAAACCUUUUAGACAGUUAUUUCAAAUGUGAGAUUAUUUUGACUGCCAAAGUAUUACACGAAAAUAUUUAAACAUGAAACUUUAUAGAUUUGCGGUAAGAUAUUUUGAAUUUUUAUUUUUUGUCUUAAACUUUUUAAAACUGUUUUUUAAAUAUUGCUAUGUUUAUUUCUUUGCAUUUUAUUUUAGUCAGCUUGACAUAUUCUAUAGACAGUUUUGUAUUUAUGAAAAUCGUACACCGAACUCUGUAUUGUUUGAUCGUGUUAUACCCUAUAUUACGAAAAUGUAAAAACGCUGUAUUUAAUUGUUGGCUACAUGUAUCGAAUGGUUAAUUUGUUUUCUUUAAACUUGUCUUUUCUCCGUUUUUAUUGCACCUACAUUGUCAAUAUACAAAACAUUUUAAAAAUUCACAUUAAAAAAAAGUGAAAUUACAAAAUAUAAUCUAUAUCACAUAAUAAUUCAACGAACAUGCAAUGUACAUUUCACUAUUAAUUUGAUAUAAAAGUGUCAAUUUUUUACAAAAGAAAGGGAGAAAAGAUACCAAAAACAAACAUUCAAAAGUCAUUAAUCAACGGAUAGCUGACAAUGACACUACAAACCAAACAACAACAAACAACAUACAACUUCAAACCACCAGUCCACAUACAACUAUAUAAAAACUAAUGACUUUAGCAACACAAUCCCAAAUGAAAGCUGAGGUUGGAUUGUGUACGUCUGAAAUUUUAAUGAAUGUCAAAUCAAAGUGUUCAUUUGCUUUUUAUAUACCUGUAUUGAUAUGUUAAAUCAUUAACUAAGAGAUCUUUUAAUUUAAUGUUUUUGGCUAUGUUUGUAAUCCUUAUUUUCAAAAUAGUUUAACAAAAAACAAUGUAUCAUUGUUUAUAAACCCCUUAUAUCUCUAUUGUUACAGCUAUUUUGGAUACUAGCUGUUCUCUUUGUGGAUAAAUCAAAUGGUUGCAACCGAUCUAAUGAAAGAUGUUUCGGUA